rnacentral:lncRNA from 1 species
UUAAACUUACUGCAGGAAGUGGCUGGUUUCCUAAAGCAUCUUUUUGCGACUCCUUUGACUCGAUAUAAUCGAUAAAAAGCACUUGUGUCACGCAUGGACGAAACCAUGCUCUGAUACCACCUCUGUAACACCCCCGAACCGUCCUAGACAUAUGGUCGACCAACAGCCCAACAAUCAAACAAGAACAUGACCGAUCGACCGUCCAAUACCCAGGGUUAUAUAUUAAUGA